rnacentral:rRNA from 1 species
GAUGAACGCUAGCUACAGGCUUAACACAUGCAAGUCGAGGGACCGGCUCACGGGUGAGUAACACAUAUCCAACCUGCCCUUUACUCGGAGGUAGCCUUUCGAAAGAAAGAUUAGUACCCGAUAUAAAGGAUGGGGAUGCGUUGCAUUAGGUUGUUGGUGAGGCAACGGCACACCAAGCCUUCGAUGGAUAGGGGUUCUGAGAGGAAGGUCCCUCACAUUGGAACUGUGCCCCGGCCCAAACGCCUACCGGAGGCAGUGGUGAUGAGUAAUGGGCAAUGGGCGCUAGCCUGAACCAGCCAAGGAGCGUGAAGGAUGAAGGGUCAUGGGGCGUAAAUGUCUAUGAUAUACGAAUAUGUAUUAUAUGAAUAAGGAUCGGCUAACUCCGUGCCAGCCGCCGCGGUAAUUC